rnacentral:rRNA from 1 species
GCUUACGGCCACACCACUGUGAUGACAGCCGAUCCUGUCUGGUCGCUAAACGUGGGCGGGCCUGGUUAGUACUUGGGUGAGAGACCUCCUAGGAACACUGAGUGCUGGAAGCU